rnacentral:rRNA from 1 species
UGGGGAAUAUUGGACAAUGGGGGAAACCCUGAUCCAGCGACGCCGCGUGAGUGAAGAAGUAUUUCGGUAUGUAAAGCUCUAUCAGCAGGGAAGAUAAUGACAGUACCUGACUAAGAAGCACCGGCUAAAUACGUGCCAGCAGCCGCGGUAAUACGUAUGGUGCAAGCGUUAUCCGGAUUUACUGGGUGUAAAGGGAGCGUAGGCGGUCUGCCAAGUCUGAUGUGAAAACCCGGGGCUCAACCCCGGGAGUGCAUUGGAAACUGGCGGACUGGAGUGUCGGAGAGGUAAGCGGAAUUCCUAGUGUAGCGGUGAAAUGCGUAGAUAUUAGGAGGAACACCAGUGGCGAAGGCGGCUUACUGGACGAUAACUGACGCUGAGGCUCGAAAGCGUGGGGAGCAAA